rnacentral:lncRNA from 1 species
AUGAGUGCCAAUAAGACAACUCUCCAUCCAAGUCACAAUUUAUAAAAGUAAACCGUUUAAGUCAAAUUACGGUCUUCAACAGAGCUAUGACUCAUACGGAAUAGCAAGCUAUAAAGGGUCCCAAAAUGAUGUCGCAAAAACAAUAUUAUACUCUGAAAAUUGAUGUGCCUUGAUCAUAUAUGGCAAUAAAUCAAGAACAUUUAACAAGCGAAAACAAAUAUUUAUUCAUAGCACACUGAGUAUUACAAAUCUUCUAUUGAUUUAUUUUCUUUGAAAUUUGUUAUAAUUUGCAUAUCUUAGUAUAAAGGCAACAGAACAAAAAAAUGUAAAUCUUUUUUAUGCAAUUUUUUGCAAAUAGAAAAAUAAUGAAAAAAAUAAUCAUUGCGAAUAUUUCAUAAAAACAUCAAGCUUGAAAAUUCCAUAAAUAAAUUAUGAUGUCAGCUAAAUAAGAUUAAAUGCAAAAAAUUACCAGCCAAACUAAUCUGGAUAUAUAUAUUACAGUAUUGGCAAAAAAUAUGAACUUCAUUCUGUUUACCCAAGCUCUAGCAAACCUUUUAUGUUUUAAAUAUAAUUAUAUAAUUUGGGUAAUAUAGUAAUGGUUUACUGAUAUUUCCCCUGCUGAAAAUCACCAGGCUCUGUUAAAUAUGUAUUUUGGCAUUUUUUGUAAUUAUAUAAUUUGAUUUUUAUAAAUAAUCAGCAUAUUAGCACCACUACAAUUAUACUACUUUCUUAAGCUGCUCCAAAUGAUAAGUUGCAAAUUCCCAAAGCCUAAUACUCUUUACACAGCUACAGGUAAUUCAUCUACGUAGAAUAUAUUGCACCCAAAUGACCUUAAAAGGUCAUAGUAAUAAUAUGUAAAGUUUAGAGGAGCUUCUUGUAAAUUAUUCUGAUAUCAAAAUCAAUUCUGCACUGAAAAAUAAACUAAUUAGAUCAUUUAAUAAUGAAAUCAAGAUUACAUCUGUGAACCUAUUAAUUUGUGCUUAAAUCAAAUCAUAAUUUGACUUUGUGUAUAAACAUUCUAAUAAGUCAGUAAUUUUCAUCAGAUUUUAGAAAUUGUAUCAAAUCAAUCUUAAUAUAAAUGGAAGAGGGCUGAACAGUUCAUUACUUACUUAUAAUACUCUUAAAACGCCCAAAAAUCAAAAAUGUAGAAUCUUACAUACAUCUUUCAAACAUAUAAAAAAUUAUUAUACAAAACUCGAAAAAAACUCAAAAUUGUCAUCUUGUAAAAACAACAAAGCCUGGCAAGAAUAAUAGUACAAAAUUUACAAAAAAACAAAAAUAUAUGAAAAAAAUACAGUGUGAUUUCAUUUAAUGGUAGUAAAUUUGGAUAUUGUUACAAAAUCAAAUUGAAAAAACAUUCCUAUUUUUAGAGGUGGUAAGGGACGAAAACUCUUGAAGUCCAGUAAAAUGUUUGUGCCAACUAAACAUCUCAUACUUCUAAGUUCUGUAAAUUCAGAAAUUGUUGUGAGGUUUUUAUUAUUGCAAAAAAUGCAACAGAGUUGUAAACCCAAUAAUUUAAACUCUCAUUUUGAAAUGUUUUAUAUGAAUUAAACAGUAUUUUUCUCAAAAUCGUAAAAAUUAAAAUCGCAUUUAAGUCUAAAAUGACAAAAUCACAAUAAAUCCACGCAAAAAUUUCUUAAUUUACAGUAACACUGAUUAUGUAUUGCACUUUUAAAGGAUAUUAAUUUUCCUUAACCCAGAUCAACUCUCUAAAGAUAUAUUUAAAUUUCAUUCUCAAUAAAUUCUUAAGAAGACAAUGAGUUCCUAGACAUGUUUCUCAUGUUAUAUGCCAUCAAAACUCCAAGUUGAAUAGUUGUACAUGUAUAAGAAUUAUCGGAAAAAUACAAAAAGAAAGUUACUUCAUAGUUGAAAACUUUACUAUUGAUUUGAGAUGUUAAGAAAACAAAGGCAUAUGCAUGUUAAUUGGCACACAAACCUAUAUUAUAACUUUAGAAAAGUUGUGUAUAAAUAGUGAUUUUUUAAACUCUUUUUAUUGUUAUAAAAAAACAACACUUAUAAUUGGGUGGCAAUUUUUAUUUAUUUUUCAACUUCUUCUGAGAAAGACUUUAGAAGUCGAAAUAUUGGUCUUUCAAUUCCAAUACUUAGCUUUUAUUGUUUUAUCUAUUUAAGUUUUUGUAUUUUAUCUUUUAUUUUUUCUUAAAAAAAGCUUCUCUUAUAACUUAAAAAUCUAACUAAAACUUAUCACUUGCAAGAAAAGGGUUAUUAAACACAAUAAUGGUUUAUGUUGUGAAACUAAUGAUCAAAACUCUGAAUCAUACAUGAAAAUAAUAUAAACUACUGCAGCAGGUAUAAAAUGAACAAUAAAUAAGUGAAACCUCUCUUACAUUCAUUAACAUAUAAUCAUUAUAAAUUGGGACAAAAAUACAUAGAAAAAACAAAAUAUCAUUUAUAUGGAUAAAUAACGUAUAUAAAACUUAACAAACUCUAACAAUUCAAUUAUGAAGCACACAUAAAACCAUUCAAAUACUGAUACACAUAUAUGUAUGAGGUUCUUUGUUUCUUUAUUUGUUUAUUUUGAAUGGCUGUUUUUUUCUCUAUUCUUUAUAUUUCAGCACCAAAUUUUUUUUUUGGGCUCAUUUUCCCCUUAUUUUAAUUUUUAGUUCCUAAUUCUCUAUUUUCAAAACCCUUUCCAGAUCCUAGUAUAGUGCUCCUAAAUUAAUACUGCUACUGAUAAAAGUAAAAAGGCAAUGAUCAUCAAAAUUUGUUCUGGUACUGAUGGAAUUUUCAGUUUGAUUUUAACAAGAGUGCACACACUGAAAUGUCUCGCCUUCUUUAGUAAUCAUUGAUAUUAUGUUGAUAGUCCUAAGUAUAAAGCUUUAUUACAACUGUCACAUAAACUUAACAUUAACCAAGAUAGCUAAACAAAGACCAAUGAACCAUGAAAAUGAGGUCAAGGUCAGAUGAACCAUGCCAGGCAGACAUGUACAGCUAACAAAGCUUCCAUACAACAAAUAUAGUUGACCUACUACUUAUAGUUUAAGAAAAAUAGACCAAAACACAGAAACUUAACACUGUGCAAUGAACCGUGCAAUUGAGGUCAUGGUCAAAUAAAACCUGCGGGACUGACAUAUAGAUCAUAAUAUAUUUCCAUACACCAAAUAUAGUUGACCUUUGGCAUAUAAUAUAAGAAAAAAAGACCAAAACUUAAAAACUUAACUUUGACCACUGAACCAUGAAAAUGAGGUCAAGGUCAGAUGACAUCUGCCCUCUAGACAUGUACACCUUACAAUCAUUCCAUACAACAAAUAUAGUAGACCUAUUGAAUAAAGUAUGAGAAAAACAGACCAAAACACAAAAACUUAACUAUAACCACUGAACCAUGAAAAUGAGGUCAAGGUCAGAUGAUACCUGCCAGUUGGACAUGUACACCUUCCAGUCCUUCCAUACACCAAAUAUACUAGCCCUAUUGCUUAUAGUAUCUGAGAUAUGGACUUGACCACCAAAACUUUACCUUGUUCACUGAUCCAUGAAAUGAGGUCGAGGUCAAGUGAAAACUGUCUGACGGGCAUGAGGACCUUGCAAGGUACGCACAUACCAAAUAUAGUUAUCCUAUUACUUAUAAUAAGAGAGAAUUCAACAUUAUAAAAAUUCUGAACUUUUUUUUCAAGUGGUCACUGAACCAUGAAAAUGAGGUCAAGGACAUUGGACAUGUGACUGACGGAAACUUCGUAACAUGAGGCAUCUAUAUACAAAGUAUGAAGCAUCCAGGUCUUUCACCUUCUAAAAUAUAAACCUUUUAAGAAGUUAGCUAACACCGCCGCCGCCGUAGCCGCCGUAGCCGCCGCCGCCGCCGGAUCACUAUCCCUAUGUCGAGCUUUCUGCAACAAAAGUUGCAGGCUCGACAAAAAUCAAGGGAAUAAAAAAGUUUUCUAUUCAUACAUUUUUCUUUAAUAAUACCAAGUACUACUGUGGAUUCAUUUACUUCCGUGGGUAUCAAUUUUCGUGGUUUGAGGAAAAACUUGCAUUUUCAUGGAUAUUUGAUUUCGUGGUUUUGCUAAAAUCUGCAUACAAGCUUAUAGAAAAUUUGAAAUUCGUUGAACAUUUGAAUUCGUGGUUCACCUGUAUCAAGGAAAUCCAUGAAAAUUGGUAUCCCAUGAAUAAAAGUGAAUCCACAGUAUGCCAAACAAUAGAAGUCUAAACAUAUAAUGGAAUAAAUACUUGUUGAAUGACCCUGAUAUAUUACCUCUAAGAUGGCAUGAUUAAAGAAUUUAUAUAUAAGCAGAAGCGCAGAAGCGGGUGAAGAGGGUGUAUGCUACUUUUUAAUGCAAAAAUAUCUCAAUUUCUAAAGAUUUAUGUGAAUUUUUUAGCUUAAAUCUUCUAAUUUUGUUUAUGGAAAAAUAUUAGUAAUAAGAACCCACUCCCCUUCUAUUUUCAAAAAUCCUUGAUCCCCACUGACAAGUUCUCUUUUGUUAUAAAAUGUAAGGCACUCAAAAUUUGAAAAGAAACUGAUUAGGAAAUAAAAACAGAAAUUUUUAUGACAUUAUAUUGUAUAUUUACAUUUGGCACAAGAAAGCAUUUUGCAAUUAUUGCUUGAAAUUAUUGAUUAGCAAUAUGAAGGAAAACAUUGAAUUCAAGUAAGGGCACAAAACAAUAACAUCAAAAUAUAUAUAAAAUUUACAAGGAACUUGUUUCAGAUAUCUAUAGAUUUUAAUUAUGUAGUAAAACAUUUUAACCACUUUUAGGCUUUUUAAAAUAGUAUAAUAUGAAAUAUCAGAUAGCAGUAAAAGUUUCUAUUACAAAAAAUAAGACUUGACAUUUCAAUAGCUUUUAAAGAACCAAUAUUGGACUUAUUUUGUCAGGUUAGAACAUAUUUUCUAAACCAUAUUAUACUUUUAUAGUAUACACUAACGUGUAUACACUUAUUUACUGGCUAUGAUUACAAGUUUAUUUUCCCAAUAGACAAUAACUAUCUCCCAAAGCAAUGUACAGGUAAAUAGUUACAGCAGAUUUCAGUCAGUAUGUAGCUAAUGGUAAUAUUUUUGGUUAGCUUGCUUGUUAGCUGAACCGUGAAGUCAUUGUUAGGUAAGGUAUACUACCCUCCUUUUAAAGUAGCUUAGUCCUACAGAGAGAUAGAUUUUUUAUCUGUUGGGCUAGUCUACUAUUAAAGGAGGGAAGUUUACCUUACAUAACAAUGACUUCACGGUUCAGCUAACAAGCAAGCUAACCAAAGAUAUUACCAUUAGCUACAUACUGACUGAAAUCUGCUGUAAUGGUAUAUACUAAACAUGUUUAAAGACCUUGACUACCCAGGAGGAUCACACAUUUUUUUUUUAGAUAACUUCGUAAAAAUAGUUCAUGCACAUGUAUGUAUCUAUAAUCUUAUUCGGAAAAUACAAAUUAAUACUGAAGUAUAAUAAUUAAAGCUAAGUUCAUAUACAGUGUGUUAAAGGCCACACCAAAUCAACAUUUCAUGCUUUUAGAUUUUUGGAAGACAAAAAGAGCUUAAAUAAUAAAUGCUUAAAAAUUCUAAAUUAUAACAAUAAGAUGGCUUUAAGAUUUCAUACAACAAUGGUUGUUCAAGAGUUUAAUUUUUCAAUUUGAUUUAAAAAAUAUAUACUUGGAUAUUUUUGUUAAUUUCUUAUUUCCAAAGGUAAAAAGAAAAAGACCUUUAUUCUGCCUGCAAUAUGUAACAGAUAAACUCAUCAUAUAUACCAGGAUUUAAUUUUGUAUUUACACAAGAUGUGUGUUUCGUCUACAAAAGACUCAUCAGUGACGCUUAAUAAAAAAAAUGUUAAAAAGGCUAAAUUAAGUCGAAGUUGAAGAGCAUUGAGGACCAAAAUUCCUAAAAGUUUUUGCCAAAUACAGCUAAGGUAAUCUAUUCCUGAGGUAAAAAAGCCUUAGUAUUUCAAAUUUUCAAAUUUUUGUAAACAGUUAAUUUAUAAAUAUUACCAUAUCAAUGACAUAUAAGUUUUUAUUUGAAAGUUGAAAAUAAAUUAAGUGUAACCAUAUAUGAUAAUAUUUAUUCCCUACAGAGGUGUAAAUGUUGAUAUAAACCGCCAUUUAAACCUACCCAGCAGUUUAUGCAUGGAAAUACUAUAAUACUUCUAUGUUAAAUGCUGAUGUCAUUUUGUUAAGUUUUGAAAAUAUGGUCGAUUACAGAUUACUGUCGAUUACUUGAAAAAAUGUAAUCAAUUACAAUCGAUUACGAUUACAGAUUACGAUUACCCCAUCCCUGUUGUUAACAUUGAUUAAUUAUGUACAACAUGAAUUUUACAAGUGACAAACUUUUUUUUUUAAAAGUUGUAUAUAAGUUUUAUAGAAUACACAAAGUACACAACAUCUAACCAUCAAUAUACAUGAUAUAUGUUAUUAAGUUCAAGAAAAAAUAUAUUAUACUAAUAUUUCUAUGAUGAAAUAAAAACCUUUUUUCUUGGGGAAAUCUGAAAAAGUAACUCAAAUUUCAUUCAAUUAUACUGUUAAAGUUUGUUUACAUACAAUUUAUGAAAAUAAAUAAUGAUAUCUUAC